rfam:Schistosoma mattheei strain Denwood, Zambia genome assembly, scaffold: SMTD_scaffold0014648
AAGUUUCUGAAUCCGAGUUGAGAUUUCGUCAGAUACCAACCCAUUAGGGCUGAUCACACUUCCAAGAUAAGUGAAGUU